rnacentral:rRNA from 1 species
AGGAAUUGGCGGGGGAGCACUACAACGGGUGGAGCCUGCGGUUCAAUUGGAUUCAACGCCGGAAAGCUUACCGGACUCGACAGCACUAUGAAGGUCAGGCUAAAGACCUUACCGAAUUCGCUGAGAGGAGGUGCAUGGCCGUCGUCAGUUCGUAUCGUGAGACAUCCUGUUAAGUCAGGCAACGAGCAAGACCCGUGCCCACAGUUGCCAGCAUUUUCGCAAGAAGGAUGGGCACACUGUGGGGACCGCCGCUGCUAAAGCGGAGGAAGGAGCGGGCUACGGUAGGUCAGUAUGCCCCGAAUGGUCCGGGCUACACGCGGGCUACAAUGGUUGCCCC